GGGCCCGCACAAGCGGUGGAGCAUGUGGUUUAAUUCGAUGAUACGCGAGGAACCUUACCAGGGCUUAAAUGUAGUCUGACAGCUUUAGAGAUAGAGUUUUCUUCGGACAGAUUACAAGGUGCUGCAUGGUUGUCGUCAGCUCGUGCCGUGAGGUGUCAGGUUAAGUCCUAUAACGAGCGCAACCCCUGUCGUUAGUUGCCAGCAUGUAAAGAUGGGGACUCUAACGAGACUGCCGGUGCAAACCGCGAGGAAGGUGGGGAUGACGUCAAAUCAUCACGGCCCUUACGUCCUGGGCCACACACGUGCUACAAUGGCCGGUACAGAGAGUCGCAAGUUUGCAAAGACAAGCUAAUCUCAUAAACUCGGUCUCAGUUCGGAUUGUAGGCUGCAACUCGCCUACAUG
rnacentral:rRNA from 1 species